GACGAACGCUGGCGGCGUGCUUAACACAUGCCAGUCGAACGGACAGGCCCUGCUUGCAGGGUUCUCGAGUUGCGAACGGGUGAGUAACACGCGGGUGAUCUGCCCUGCACUUCGGGAUAAGCCUGGGAAACUGGGCCUAAUACCUGACAGGAGCCAUUUUGAGUGGGAUGGUUGGAAAGUUUUUGCGGUGUAGGAUGAGCUUGCGCCCUAGCAGCUUGUUGGUGGGGUAAUGGCCUAACAUGGCGGCGACGGGUAGCCGGCCUGCGGGGGUGGACGGCCACAUCGGGCCCGAGCGACGGCCCGGACUCCUGCGGCGUGCAGAAGGGGGGAAAGCUGGACGAAGCGCGCCAGCCUGAUGCAAGAACGCCGCCGGGGGGAUGACGGCCUUCAGGUUGUAAGAUCCAAUCGGUAAGGACCAAGCUUUUUGUGACGGUACCUAGAUCAGAAGCCCCCGCUAACUACCUG
rnacentral:rRNA from 1 species